rnacentral:rRNA from 1 species
AGUGAACGCUGGCGGUAGGCCUAACACAUGCAAGUCGAACGGCAGCACAGUAAGAGCUUGCUCUUACGGGUGGCGAGUGGCGGACGGGUGAGGAAUACAUCGGAAUCUACUUUUUCGUGGGGGAUAACGUAGGGAAACUUACGCUAAUACCGCAUACGCCCUACGGGUGAAAGCAGGGGAUCUUCGGACCUUGCGCGAUUGAAUGAGCCGAUGUCGGAUUAGCUAGUUGGCGGGGUAAAGGCCCACCAAGGCGACGAUCCGUAGCUGGUCUGAGAGGAUGAUCAGCCACACUGGAACUGAGACACGGUCCAGACUCCUACGGGAGGCAGCAGUGGGGAAUAUUGGACGAUGGGCGCAAGCCUGAUCCAGCCAUACCGCGUGGGUGAAGAAGGCCUUCGGGUUGUAAAGCCCUUUUGUUGGGAAAGAAAAGCAGCAGGUUAAUACCCCGCUGUUCUGACGGUACCCAAAGAAUAAGCACCGGCUAACUUCGUG